GCCUGGGUGGCACAGCGGUUGAGCGUCUGCCUUCGGCUCAGAGCGUGAUCCCUGCGUUAUGGGAUCGAGCCCCAUAUCAGGCU
rfam:Ailuropoda melanoleuca scaffold2132_2, whole genome shotgun sequence.